GGCACGGAGAUCACUAUCUUUCAUAAAGCAAUGAAGAAUGGACAGGGAGAACUGCUGGCUGAAAAUAUGAGAAGCCAGCACAUCCUGAAAGAAAUACCCUAGAUCCGCUUAAUGGGAAACGAAGCAGCUGGAACCCUAAACAGAACUGUGAUUUCAUUUGUCCAUCUCCUGAUGAAGAUGAGUUUCAAGAGGAGACUCACUAUUCUAAGCUAACCAUUUUAAGUCCAUUCUCAUUUUGUGACAAUAAUUUAGGAGCACCAUAAAUAUAAACCACCUGUAGCCAAUGAGACAUAAGCAAGAUCAUCCGAAAUGAACUUCUGGAAAAUUUUCCUCAAUCUCAGAAGGAGAUUUAUUCCCUCCCCCUCACCAGAAUUUCCAAGGGUUUAUACCUUAAUGAAACUGUCACAAGUCCCCAAGGGGAGCCAACUUCUACUUCUAAUGGGGAGGAAUGCUUGCAUCUAUAGGUUCCAUUAGGUGCCUGCUGUGUGUCAAAUAUUUUCCUAUGCAUUUCACAUGCAUUUUUAGCACUUAACCUCCAUAUCCUCAGGACUAUCUCUAGAAACAUAGAUGCUUAAGAAAAUUAUCUUUUACACAGAGCUUGCUAAACAGAGGGUGGAAAUCAGACAGCUUGAACUUAAGAAUAGAGUAAAAAUGGAUAUUAAGAUACUUGAAAUAUUGAUUAGGAAUAUGUAUUGUGUCAAAUUCUGGGGUAAAAGAGAAAUAUAAGUUGAAAUUUUCAACUUUUUUUCUAUUUUUAAAACUGGAAUUAAUAAUCUGGGGUAGUAAGUUUCUUUGUUGCUGUUAAAAAAUAAAAAGAAACUAUAAGAGCACCUUUCAGUUGUACUCACAUGAAGCAAAGAUUCUCUGUAGUCCAGAGAAUUUUUGGAAUAGCUUCGAGAAGCUGCACAAAUCAAAACUGCUUUGAGGUCUUCGCUACUUACAUAAAGGAGAGACACAUUUACCUUUAAUAGAAAUGGGCUUUGUGGAGAGGAAAAGGAUGGAGAGAAAAUUGUCAGUUGAGCAUUAUUCACCCCUCUUGAACUCCCAGACUGAUUUUGAGCCUCUAUUUUCAUUUUGAUGUCUGCAGUCAAAAUCCAGGGAAUUUUCCAAAAUCCCUAAUAAAAUAUCGAAUAUUUGACAUCAUUCCUUCCCCAAGGGUAAGAAAUAUUUUCAAUAUUUGACAUUGUGCGGUUAAACAUAUUGCUGCCUUACGUAGAAAAGUGGGUUGAAUACUUCUCUCAUUGUUUUAGAAUUAUUUUCCCUUCUUCCAUUUGCUAUAUUUGAUCUCUAUAAUUCUGGUAUGUGUUUGGCCAUAGACUAGUGAUCAUAUCACCCAGGUCUUUUGUAACAUUCAUUCCUUCAGAACUUAACAAUGGGAAAUAACACAGGUGUCAAUUGGACAGAGAGAUUUGAGGGAAACUCUCAAAUUAGAGUGAAAGUUUCAAUCUGUCUACUGCGAAGAAGCCUCAUUCUUUCUGCUCCUGUAUCAUAACACAGAGGCCUAUGUGAAGUACAUAGACUAAAAUUAGUUCAAUCUAAAGGGAUUUAUUUUUACCAAUAAAAUUGUGUUUCUUCAAAAUGCAUAACAUUGAUACAGAUUUGAGA